rnacentral:SRP_RNA from 1 species
GCUGGGCAUGGUGGGGCAUGCCUGUAGUCUCAGCUACUCGGGAGGCUGAGGUGGGAUGAUCACUUGAGCCCAGGAGGUGGAGGCUGCAGUGAGCUGGGAUUGUACCACUGAACUCCACCCUGGGCAACAGAGUGAGACCCUGUCUUGU